AUUGAACGCUGGCGGCAUGCCUAACACAUGCAAGUCGAACGGCAGCACGGCAGUAGCAAUACUGUGGGUGGCGAGUGGCGGACGGGUGAGGAAUACGUCGGAAUCUGCCCAGUCGUGGGGAUAACUAGCCGAAGGUUAGCUAAUACCGCAUACGACCGAGAGGUGAAAGCGGGGACCGGCAAGGCCUCGCGCGAUUGGAUGAGCCGACGUCGGAUUAGCUAGUUGGUGGGGUAAAGGGCCCACCAAGGCGACGAUCCGUAGCUGGUCUGAGAGGAUGAUCAGCCACACUGGAACUGAGACACGGUCCAGACUCCUACGGGAGGCAGCAGUGGGGGAAUAUUGGACAAUGGGCGCAAGCCUGAUCCAGCAAUGCCGCGUGUGUGAAGAAGGCC
rnacentral:rRNA from 1 species